UACGAGGGGGGCAAGCGUUGUUCGGAAUUAUUGGGCGUAAAGGGCGCGUAGGCGGUGCGGUAAGUCACCUGUGAAAACUCUGGGCUCAACUCAGAGCCUGCAGGCGAAACUGCCGUGCUGGAGUGUGGGAGAGGUGCGUGGAAUUCCCGGUGUAGCGGUGAAAUGCGUAGAGAUGGGGGAGAACACUCGUGGCGAAGGCGGCCAGCUAGACCAGUUCUGACACUGAGGCGCGACAGCGUGGGGAGCAAACAGG
rnacentral:rRNA from 1 species